rnacentral:rRNA from 1 species
UACGAAGGGUGCAAGCGUUACUCGGAAUUACUGGGCGUAAAGCGUGCGUAGGUGGUUUGUUAAGUCUGAUGUGAAAGCCCUGGGCUCAACCUGGGAAUUGCAUUGGAUACUGGCAGGCUAGAGUGCGGUAGAGGAUGGCGGAAUUCCCGGUGUAGCAGUGAAAUGCGUAGAGAUCGGGAGGAACACCGGUGGCGAAGGCGGUUCUCUGGGCCUUACCUGACGCUGAGGAGCGAAAGCGUGGGGAGCGAACAGG